rnacentral:misc_RNA from 1 species
GUGAAUCAUCAAAUUUUUGAACGCAAAUUGCACUCUCCUCGGAGAGUAUGCCUGUUUGAGGGUCAGCCUAUAAAAAAUCGACAUCGUUGCUGUUUCGCGGUGGCGUUCGUCGGAAAUUGGGUCAUCUUAAAUCUUUUGGUUUUAAGCGACUUAAAAUUUUCUUUUUGGUCCCAUGAACGUUUCUAAGUUUUUUUUCUUUACCGGUUUACGUAACCGAUUUUAUUUAGACUU